GAUGAACGCUAGCUCCAGGCUUAACACAUGCAAGUCGAGGGGAAACGACAUCGCAAGCUUGCUUUUGAUGGGCGUCGACCGGCGCACGGGUGAGUAACGCGUAUCCAACCUGCCCAUCACUUGGGAAUAACCUUGCGAAAGUAAGACUAAUACCCAAUGAUAUCCCACGAAGGCAUCGGAAUGGGAUUAAAGAUUUAUCGGUGAUGGAUGGGGAUGCGUCUGAUUAGCUUGUUGGCGGGGUAACGGCCCACCAAGGCAACGAUCAGUAGGGGUUCUGAGAGGAAGGUCCCCCACAUUGGAACUGAGACACGGUCCAAACUCCUACGGGAGGCAGCAGUGAGGAAUAUUGGUCAAUGGGCGAGAGCCUGAACCAGCCAAGUAGCGUGCAGGAAGACGGCCCUAUGGGUUGUAAACUGCUUUUAUAAGGGAAUAAAGUGGGUCACGUGUGACUUUUUGCAUGUACCUUAUGAAUAAGGACCGGCUAAUUCCGUG
rnacentral:rRNA from 1 species